GCGUCCGUAGCUCAGCUGGAUAGAGUAGCUGGCUACGAACCAGGCGGUCAGAGGUUCGAAUCCUCUCGGACGCGCCA
rnacentral:tRNA from 18 species